AGGAGCUGCACCGACCUCAUCUGCUGCGUCCUCUUCAUGGUCUUCCUUGCCGGCUACAUGGUGGUGGGAAUCCUGGCCUGGCUCUACGGGGACCCACGGCAGGUGAUUUACCCCCGGAACUCGACUGGUGCCUACUGCGGGAUCGGGGGCAACGUGGGCAAACCCUAUGUGCUGUAUUUCGACUUGCUCCAGUGCGUCACCUCCCUCAACAUCCUGGCAGCGG